rnacentral:rRNA from 1 species
CCCUUAGAUGUCCGGGGCCGCACGCGCGCUACAAUGGAUGAAUCAACGCGUCAUCCUGGCCCGAAAGGGUUGGGGAACCGCUGAACCUCAUCCGUGGUUGGGAUUGGGGUUUGUAAUUAUUCCCCAUGAACUAGGAAUUCCCAGUAAGCGCGAGUCAUAAGCUCGCGUUGAUUACGUCCCUGCCCUUUGUACACACCGCCCGUCGCUACUACCGAUUGGAUGGUUUAGUGAGGUCCUCGGAUUGGUCACGGCACGGUGGCAACACUGCGUCGGUGUGCCGAGAAGACGAUCAAACUUGAUCAUCUAGAGGAAGUAAAAGUCGUAACA